GCAAUAAAUUUUUUUAUUCCUGAUAUUGGUAAAACUGGACCCCCUGAUUACGAAUAUGCCAUUAGUUUUCAUCAAAAGUGUUUUGUUCUCGAGUUAUUUCACCGUAAAUAUUCAGUACGUCCGCCAUCUUGGAUCGAUUUUCAAAAAAAUUAUCUUUUGGGUCACAUGACCUGUGUGACGUCAAGAGCAGGGUAGAAUCAAAACAACAAAUAUAUUUUAUUAGGCGCAUAUUGCGACUUCGUACUCUAGUGAGAAAUUUGGCGCUUUUUGAUUACUCGGAUGGAAAAUAUCCACGAUAUCAAGUAGAUAAAGUAUUGCCUUAUCAAUUUGAACCUAAACUGGGCUUACAAACAAGCGAUAGCGGUGACGAGAGCGACUCCGAAGAACAGAGUGAAUCGUCUGACGAGGAAAUCACGAUGUGUAAUGUGUUUGAGGUCGAAAAUGCUUGGCGCAUUGCACAUUGGAGCCAAAAGAUAUUGAAUUGUUUUGUUGCCACGAUAAAGCGUUAGAAUACGAUGAAUAAGAUGCAUGAUUAAAGGAGGCUGAAACCCAAGGGGAGAAGUGCUCGACUGCCUUUACAACACUGUCAAUACAUGGAGAAUUGAAAGCGAACAUGCUUAUCGGAAGGGCUAUUAAAUAGACGUUUGUCGCUAUCUUGAAGAUAUUAAACUGGUCUCUGGAUGACAAAGAUUUGGACAAUUUACACAAAAUUUAUAGACUAGUAGCUUCCAACGAUGUUCGCGUUGGGUAUUUCAGAUUUUGGGGAAUAAGAACAGAAGGCCACUUCACGGCAUGCGUGUGUUCACACAAUAAUAAACAAUUCCCAUUAUAGAGUAAUUUUAAAACUAGGCAAGGAGAUGCAAAUAAAUCACGACAGCUAGAAAGAGCAUACUAAAAUGAGUAAAAUUGCAAAGUUUAGUUGCGAAAUGUUGUAAAAUGCGGAACAUAUAGCCUUGCAAAGUUCGCAAAUUUUAUAUUACUUUUGUAUUGCGUGCGGAAAUUGCUAAUUUUCGGCCCAAAUGUGGUAGCAAUUAACGCACGCAAUACAAAAGUAUACAAAAUUUGCUAUGUUUUCCGCAUUUUACAACAUUUCGCAACCAAUCUUUGCAAUGUUACCCAUUUUAGUAUGCUCUUUCUAGCUGUGGUGAUUUAUUUGCAUCUCCUUGCCUAGUUUUAAAAUUAGUCUAUAAUGGGAAUUGUGUAUUCGAGAGUGGUUUGGGGCUUUGAGAUUGUUUGAAUGUUCAUUUAUUCAAAUUUGGCUAAAUUUAUACUCUUUUAAUAAUAACUCUAUAGUAUAUAUGUGUCGAUUACAUGAAGCAUUUUCAAGCCUGGGGAUAAACUAGUUUUAUACUGUUGACAGCGUUGGAAUUUGUUCAAUAAAGUAGCCCUCGGCCUGGGUGCUCGAAACAGGUUUGAAAUUUAAUUUUAACCUUAUUUUUUAACUGAGUCAAAAUCCAAGGUUGAAGAUCCUCUAAUUCCUUCGAUGUAAUCAGCUUUAUUAUAUAAUGUGCAGCAUGCAACCCCAAUUUCCUACAACAAAUGUUAUUAUAAUUUGCAAUUGUCCUAUUAUCUAUUAAAGUGCAGUGGUGUAUAUAUUAAUGCUUUAUUAAAAUUAAGUUUAUAAACAAAUUUGUUCUCCUCAUUAUUUAUAUCACAAAAACAUCAAAACGAUUUUUGCACGCGAAUU
rnacentral:lncRNA from 1 species